rnacentral:misc_RNA from 1 species
GAUGAAGAACGUAGUGAAAUGCGAUACUUGGUGUGAAUUGCAGAAUCCCGUGAACCAUCGAGUCUUUGAACGCAAGUUGCGCCCGAAGCCAUUAGGCCGAGGGCACGCCUGCCUGGGCGUCACACGUCGUUGCCCCCCCCAUCUACUCCUUCGGGAUUGCGGGGGGCGGAUGAUGGCCUCCCGUGCGCCUCGUCGCGCGGUUGGCAUAAAUGCCAAGUCCUCGGCGACGCACGCCACGACAAUCGGUGGUUGCGAAACCUCGGUUGCCCGUCGUGUGCGGUCGUCGCGCAUCGAGGGCUCGAAAAAAUUGCCGGGCUCCGGCUCGGCUUUCAACGCGACCCCAGGUCAGGCGGGGUUACCCGCUGAAUUUAAGCAUAUCAAUAAGCGGAGGA